rnacentral:rRNA from 1 species
CCUACGGGAGGCAGCAGUGAGGAAUAUUGGUCAAUGGGCGCGAGCCUGAACCAGCCAAGUAGCGUGAAGGAUGACUGCCCUACGGGUUGUAAACUUCUUUUAUAAAGGAAUAAAGUGAGGCACGUGUGCCUUUUUGUAUGUACUUUAUGAAUAAGGAUCGGCUAACUCCGUGCCAGUAGCCGCGGUAAUACGGAGGAUCCGAGCGUUAUCCGGAUUUAUUGGGUUUAAAGGGAGCGUAGAUGGGUUGUUAAGUCAGUUGUGAAAGUUUUCGGCUCAACCGUAAAAUUGCAAUUGAUACUGGCAGUCUUGAGUACAGUUGAGGUAGGCGGAAUUCGUGGUGUAGCGGUGAAAUGCGUAGAUAUCGAGAGGAACACUCGUGGCGAAGGCGGGUUCUUGGACAUUAACUGACGCUGAGGCACGAAGGCCAGGGGAGCGAAAGGGAUUAGAUACCCUAGUAGUC